rnacentral:lncRNA from 1 species
AGAGCACGGAGUGAUGGAAGCCCCACAUGUGUGUCUGGUCAUCCCAGGUCCCCUGUGUGCCCGUGUGCUGUGGCCGCUAAGAGGGCAGUGCAGGGCACAGCUGGAGAGGGGGCAUCUGAUUUCAGCCUGUGUCCUGGUCCCACCACAGCCCUGAUUUAAGCGCACAGGCCUCCUUCCCAGGCAGGGUCCUCUGAGCUCACUGGUUCCCUCUGCUCUGUCUUCCAGGCUCUGCUUCAUCCACCGUUGGGCAUCUGAGUUAAUUUUCUUUACUGCGGUUAACUUCACUGACUAAUUACGCAAGACGUCCUGACCGAGCAGCAACCAGCACAGGACCUCCUCUCCACUGACACUUGGUGCUGCGGGUCUCAGUCCUGACCGACAGAGUGAGUGGCUUCUCUUGUCAUCUCCAAAAUGGAAACCACUCUGUGACCAGAGAGACUCCUGGAGGCCCCUAGAGCGGCAGUGGCAAAGAAUACAAACUAAAUCUGGUACCCAUGGAGCCGAGAGGUCUGCAACACGAGAGACCGGGAGACGGGGUUUUAACGAGCAGGGGGCACAACCAUGGGGAAGAAUGUCACUGGGAACCAGCCCAGGGCAGAAGACAGAAGAGGUGCUGACAAGUUCUGGAGUCCUCCCGGACCCUCUGAGAAGCCUCACAGGCCACAGGGUCCCUUCUCUUUACACAGAAGAAAAGCCAAGAGUCCACAGUCCCCGCUUUCUCCCCAUCAGGGCUGCAUCUGGGCAGGGACAGCACCAACUGGAUGGUCUUUUCUCCAGGAGAGAACUGGAGAGGGUUUUGCUGAGGCAGCAGGCUCUCAGAAUCAUAAAUCAACUGGAGCCAAGAGCCAUUGUCAACACUGUAGGGGACCUGAACCUCGGAGCUCCUGAGGCGUGACAACUCCUUCUGCUUUCAAAAGCUGCAUUUCCACGUUUUCUGAACAGCGAGUCCUUCAUGUAUACAGUUAAUUGCAUAAAUAAACAUUUUUUUCCUCACCUGAAUUGAGCUAAACAUUCCAGUGAAUGCCAACAGAGCCAACACUCAAGGUGAAAUUUUACUUAAAAAACAAUAAUUACAAAGCCUCAGGGAAUCAGCUCUUUCAAGUACCAAGCACACGUAUUUUUUCCAAAGAUUCCUUUGAAUAAAGGG